AUUGAACGCUUGCGGCAGGCUUAACACAUGCAAGUCGAACGAUGAUUAUCUAGCUUGCUAGAUAUGAUUAGUGGCGGACGGGUGAGUAACAUUUAGGAAUCUGCCUAGUAGUGGGGGAUAGCUCGGGGAAACUCGAAUUAAUACCGCAUACGACCUACGGGUGAAAGGGGGCGCAAGCUCCUGCUAUUAGAUGAGCCUAAAUCAGAUUAGCUAGUUGGUGGGGUAAAGGCCCACCAAGGCGACGAUCUGUAACUGGUCUGAGAGGAUGAUCAGUCACACCGGAACUGAGACACGGUCCGGACUCCUACGGGAGGCAGCAGUGGGGAAUAUUGGACAAUGGGGGCAACCCUGAUCCAGCCAUGCCGCGUGUGUGAAGAAGGCCUUUUGGUUGUAAAGCACUUUAAGCAGGGAGGAGAGGCUAAUGGUUAAUACCCAUUAGAUUAGACGUUACCUGCAGAAUAAGCACCGGCUAACUCUGUGCCAGCAGCCGCGGUAAUACAGAGGGUGCGAGCGUUAAUCGGAAUUACUGGGCGUAAAGCGAGUGUAGGUGGCUCAUUAAGUCACAUGCGAAAUCCCCGGGCUUAACCUGGGAACUGCAUGUGAUACUGGUGGUGCUAGAAUAUGUGAGAGGGAAGUAGAAUUCCAGGUGUAGCGGUGAAAUGCGUAGAGAUCUGGAGGAAUACCGAUGGCGAAGGCAGCUUCCUGGCAUAAUAUUGACACUGAGAUUCGAAAGCGUGGGUAGCAAACAGGAUUAGAUACCCUGGUAGUCCACGCCGUAAACGAUGUCUACUAGCCGUUGGGGUCCUUGAGACUUUAGUGGCGCAGUUAACGCGAUAAGUAGACCGCCUGGGGAGUACGGCCGCAAGGUUAAAACUCAAAUGAAUUGACGGGGGCCCGCACAAGCGGUGGAGCAUGUGGUUUAAUUCGAUGCAACGCGAAGAACCUUACCUGGUCUUGACAUAGUGAGAAUCCUGCAGAGAUGCGGGAGUGCCUUCGGGAAUUCACAUACAGGUGCUGCAUGGCUGUCGUCAGCUCGUGUCGUGAGAUGUUGGGUUAAGUCCCGCAACGAGCGCAACCCUUUUCCUUAUUUGCCAGCGGGUUAAGCCGGGAACUUUAAGGAUACUGCCAGUGACAAACUGGAGGAAGGCGGGGACGACGUCAAGUCAUCAUGGCCCUUACGACCAGGGCUACACACGUGCUACAAUGGUAGGUACAGAGGGUUGCUACACAGCGAUGUGAUGCUAAUCUCAAAAAGCCUAUCGUAGUCCGGAUUGGAGUCUGCAACUCGACUCCAUGAAGUCGGAAUCGCUAGUAAUCGCAGAUCAGAAUGCUGCGGUGAAUACGUUCCCGGGCCU
rnacentral:rRNA from 1 species